rfam:Schistosoma haematobium scaffold1369_2, whole genome shotgun sequence.
AUCCAGCUGACGAGUCCCAAAUAGGACGAAACGCGCGUUGAACUUUGCUU